rnacentral:lncRNA from 1 species
UACCUAAUUGACCUAACUUUUUUUGUCUAAUAUCUUUCAUUAAAAACAAUUGGAUUAUUUAACCAGAAAAAAAAUCUGGUAAUAGAGAUGUUGCUAUCCUAGAAUACUCUCUUGACAGUCUGUAUGCCAUGAAAACUUGCAUAAGAAGGCAGCUGAUUACGAAAAAUUAAUCAUCAUUGAAUUUAGUAUUACUAAACUCAUAGCAUUUGUCCAGAUUUGUAAACACUAUUGAUUCUAAUGUGAAAGAUGGAAAAGCAGUCCCAGAAUUGGCUUAGCACAGAGACUCUAAAUGAUAGUAAAACAACAUAUUCAACUUUAAUUCCUGUCUUAUUGUUAAUGGGAAGUUAGUUAUGGUUCUACUUAAAUGUUGUAGAGAAAAUAAGUAUUACUAGUUUCUUCUCAUAAAAAUACUCCCUGGAUACGUACACUGAACAACACAAAAAACGUAAUGGCCACUUAAGAAUAUUUAUUUAUUUAUUUAUUUUUUUGAGACAGAGUCUCACUCUGUUGCCCAGGCUGGAGUGCAGUGGCACGAUCUCAGCUCACCACAUCCUCCGCCUCCCAGGUUCAAGCGAUUCUCCUGCCUCAGCCUCCCAAGUAGCUGGGAUUACAGGUGCCCGCCACCACGCAUGGCUAAUUUUUGUAUUUUUAGUAGAGGCGAGGUUUCACCAUGUUGGCCAGGCUGGUCUUGAACUCCUGACCUCAGGUGAUCCACCCAUCUUGGCCUCCCAAAGUGCUGGGAUUAUAGGUGUGAGCCACCACGCCCAGCCAAGAAUAUUUACUAAAGGAAGCUUUGACCCCUGCAUCACAUUUUUUUCAUAUUUCCCUUUCUGUAAUCUCAGCACUUUGGGAGGCUGAGGUGGGUAGGUCAAGAGGUCAGGAGUUCGAGACCAGCCUGACCAACAUGGCAAAACCCCGUCUCUACUAAAAAUACAAAAAUUAGCCGGGCGUGGUGGUGCGUGACUGUAAUCCCAGCUACUUAGGAGGCUGAGGCAGGAGAAUCGCUUGAACCUGGGAGGCAGAGGUUGCAGUGAGCUGAGAUAGUGCCACUGCACUCCAGUCUGGAAAACAGAGUGAGACUCUGUCUCAAAAAAAAAGGUAUUGAUGAAUAAAAAUUAUAACUAGAAUAAGUACUCUAACAAUUCAGAUUUAUAAUUGAGUUGUCUGAAAGCUACCUUUUUCAUUGUGAAAGUGCAUAUUAAUGUGAAGAAAAUAUUCCUAUUUGAGAACUUCAAAUAUGCAUACACAAAGAUGUUCCAGCUAUUUUUAUCUUCUUAAGUAUGCAUUCUACAUGAGAACGUUUGGGUUGGUAGUAAAAUAAAUAGUAAUAUCAAAAUAGUUUAUUAUGUUUAAAUUUCAUUCUUUUGGAAUACAUAAUUUUGAGUGAUCAUGUCUCCAACUACAGUUAUUCAGGCACAAAUUUUGGAGGUACAAAGAAUAAAUAAUAUUCUUAAGGUAGUUUUUCCUUUUAUCAGGGUUCUUCUAGAGUACUGGUCUCAUUAUUUUCUAAAGCAGUUUUUCUAAGGUGAUAAACCGAACACAUUACUUGCUAUGUAUUAAAUGACUUGUACCACUAAAUAAUCAAAUUCUAAGCUCUAACAGCUUAAUUCUAAAAUCAUUGUCUGGUAUAUUUGUGUUUUCAAUUACUUUGUGUCUUUCACAGCUGCCAAACCCAGAAAGGUAUGUUAUGGUUAUAGUUUAUCUUCUAUUUUUCCCUCUUGAACUACUCCCAAAGGAGGAAGAAGGAUGCUCAUUAUAUACUGCCUCAUUUCUUUUUAAAUUACCACUAUAGUGCCGUAGAGUUAUACCACUGCUUCUCAUACUUAUGUGCACAUUAGUCACCUUGGGAUCUAGCUAAAAUACAGAUUCAUUCAGUAGGUUUGGGGAGAGGCCUGAGAGUCUGAAUUUUUAAUAAGCUGCCAGGUGGUGGUGACAAUGAUUUGUGGACUACCCUGUGAAUAGUAACUCGGCCUUAAGAGAACAUUAACCAAAACCUUAAGCUGAGCAAACUACUGAGCAGCAAGUAUUGACAACAUUUCAAGGUUUUGUUUUUUGUUUUGUUUUGUUUUGAGAUGGAGUCUCACUCGGGCUGGAGUGCAGUGGUGUGAUCUCG